UGGCUCAGUGGUAGAGUGUUUGCCUAGCAUGCAUGAGGCCCUGGGUUCGAUUCCUUG
rnacentral:tRNA from 1 species